UACAGAGGGGGCAAGCGUUGUUCGGAAUUACUGGGCGUAAAGGGCGCGUAGGCGGCCUGCUAAGUCGAACGUGAAAUCCCCGGGCUCAACCCGGGAACUGCGUCCGAUACUGGUUGGCUUGAAUCCGGGAGAGGGAUGCGGAAUUCCAGGUGUAGCGGUGAAAUGCGUAGAUAUCGGGAGGAACAUCAGUGGCGAAGGCGGCUACCUGGCCCAAUACUGACACUCAGGUGCGACAGCGUGGGGAGCAAACAGG
rnacentral:rRNA from 1 species